rnacentral:rRNA from 1 species
UGACGGGGGCCCGACAAGCGGUGGAGCAUGCGGUUUAAUUCGAAGCAACGCGAAGAACCUUACCAGGUCUUGACAUCCUUUGACCACUCUGGAGACAGAGCUUUCCCUUCGGGGACAAAGCGACAGGUGGUGCAUGGUUGUCGUCAGCUCGUGUCGUGAGAUGUUGGGUUAAGUCCCGCAACGAGCGCAACCCUUGAUUUUAGUUGCCAGCAUUUAGUUGGGCACUCUAAAGUGACUGCCGGUGCAAGCCGGAGGAAGGUGGGGAUGACGUCAAAUCAUCAUGCCCCUUAUGACCUGGGCUACACACGUGCUACAAUGGAUAGUACAAAGGGUCGCGAAGCCGCGAGGUGGAGAUAAUACCAUAAAACUAUUCUCAGUUCGGAUUGUAGGCUGCAACUCGCCUACAUGAAGCCGGAAUCGCUAGUAAUCGUGGAUCAGCAUGCCACGGUGAAUACGUUCCCGGGCCUUGUACACACCGCCCGUCACACCACGAGAGUUGGUAACACCCGAAGUCGGUAGGGUANCCUUUAUGGAGCCA